rnacentral:rRNA from 1 species
GAUGAACGCUGGCGGCGUGCCUAACACAUGCAAGUCGAGCGAUUCUCUUCGGAGAAUAGCGGCGGACGGGUUAGUAACGCGUGGGUAACCUGCCCUGUACACACGGAUAACAUACCGAAAGGUAUGCUAAUACGGGAUAAUAUGCUUUAGUCGCAUGGCUGAAGUAUCAAAGCUCCGUCGGUACAGGAUGGACCCGCGUCUGAUUAGCUAGUUGGUGAGGUAAUGGCUCACCAAGGCGACGAUCAGUAGCCGACCUGAGAGGGUGAUCGGCCACAUUGGAACUGAGACACGGUCCAAACUCCUACGGGUGGCAG